rnacentral:rRNA from 1 species
GACGAACGCUGGCGGCGUGCUUAACACAUGCAAGUCGAACGGAAAGGCCCUGCUUUUGUGGGGUUCUCGAGUGGCGAACGGGUGAGUAACACGUGAGUAACCUGCCCUUGACUUUGGGAUAACUUCAGGAAACUGGGGCUAAUACCGUAUAGGAGCUCCUGCUGCAUUGUGGGGGUUGGAAAGUUUCGGCGGUUGGGGAUGGACUCGCGGCUUAUCGGCUUGUUGGUGGGGUAGUGGCUUACCAAGCCUUUGAAGGGUCGCCGGCCUGAGAGGGUGAACGGGGACAAUGGUCCUACGGGAGGCAGCAGUGGGGAACGUUGGGCAGCAGGGGGAAAUAUGGUACAGCGGUAGGACGUCUGUGACAGAGGCCCCGGGGGCGGGAUGCCGGCUUGUGGGGUGUAAACAGCUGCAGCUUGAGACGAAGCGGGAGUGACGGUAAUGAAUAAAGAAGCACCGGCUAACUACGUG